GCUUCGACUAAGGUUCGAUUCGAGCGAAAGCGAGAAAGCGUUGCCGCAGGCAACGACCCGAAGGGCGAAGCGCGCAGCGCUGAGUCAUCCUUCCCCCACCACCA
rnacentral:sRNA from 5 species